GGGCACUGUCGGCCUGUUUUGAAUUUAAAGCAAGAGCGGAAAAAGCGGCCCUCAAGGGCUAUUUGUUUGCAUCUUUCUAUAAACUAGUUAGAUAACUUUCUCCUCAUUUGCAACCACCGUCUGCCACUACGCUCUGCCAGGGAACGACGCCAUUGAUGAACCUAAUAAAAGUCACGUUCUUCUUGAUUAAAAACGCUUCAGAUGCUACCCACAAGACCAAAGGAACAUAACCCGCUGGUUCUGACCCGACGAUACGGUGCUGGAGGCCCGCUGGAGGCUGCUGUGUGCCGGCAUAGGACGCUCCGUGACAGGCGGGAGGAGAGAGUCUCGCAGACGGCGUGGAGCCCGCAGACGGACGUCCUCUUAUAAGGUAACGGCGCGGGAGCUGCCCCGCCUCCGCUGCCGAACAUUUGAAUAGGAUGAAGGCGCUCAGGAAGGUCCUGCAGAAAGGCCGAUGUAGCCCCCUGGUGUGCUGUUUAUUGGCCCGGCGGCGGCUGGCCCCCCCACCCUCAACCUUCAAAAUAAUUGUAUUUACUUUUUGGGGACUUUUAAGUUAUGCCUGCCUCUUGAAAAAAAAAAUUAAGAUAACUAUGUUAAUAAUAAUUUAAAAAAAAAAACGUUUAUUGCGCGUUUUUGUACCCCCCAAAAAAUGCACAUUUACCUGAUAAAAUAAAGACAAAAAUAUUUACUCGUACUCAGACUUUAAAGGCCUACUGAAAUUAGAUUUUCUUAUUCAAACGGGGAUAGCAGGUCCAUUCUAUGUGUCAUACUAAAUCAUUUCGCGAUAUUGCCAUAUUUUUGCUGAAAGGAUUUAGUAGAGAACAUCCACGAUAAAGUUCGCAACUUUUGGUUGCUAAUAAAAAAGCCUUGCCUGUACCGUAGCAGACGAUGUGCGCGUGACGUCACGGGUUGUAGAGCUCCUCACAUUCUCACAUUGUAUACAAUCGUGGCCACCAGCAGCGAGAGCGAUUCGGACCGAGAAAGCGACGAUUUCCCCAUUAAUUUGAGUGAGGAUGAAAGAUUUGUGGAUGAGGAAAGUGACAGUGAAGGACUAGAAAGAAGAAGAAAAAGACGAGGGCAGUGUGAGCGAUUCAGAUGUUUUUAGACACAUUUACUAGGAUAAUUCUGGAAAAUUCCUUAUCUGCUUAUUGUGUUACUAUUGUUUUAGUGAGAUUAUAUAGUCGUACCUGAAAGUCGGAGGGGUGUGGUGACCGCCAGUGUCUCCGAGGGAAGCCACGUUUCUGGACGAGGCAAGGCAGCCGGGCUGAGAUUUUUAUUUUUAUUUGUUUUCCCUCCACGGAGUAAGCAUCCGACGGUCGGUGGCGGCCGGUGGGAGGAGGCAAGAGAGUCCACAGCUGCAGGAAGAACGACGCAAACUCUCCGCUCAUGUCUACGGUAAGAGCCGAAUGUAAACAAGGAAACACCGGCUGUGUUGGUGUUGCUAAAGGCGGCCGCAAUUCACCGCUUCCCACCUACAUCUUUCUUCUUUGACAUCUCCAUUAUUAAUUGAACAAACUGCAAAAGA